rnacentral:rRNA from 1 species
UACGUAGGGACCUAGCGUUGUCCGGAAUCAUUGGGCGUAAAGCGCGCGUAGGCGGCCCAGUAAGUCCGUUGUAAAAGUCGAAGGCUCAACCUUCGAAAGCCGAUGGAUACUGCCGGGCUAGAGUACGGAAGAGGCGAGUAGAAUUCCUGGUGUAGCGGUGGAAUGCGCAGAUAUCAGGAGGAAUACCCAUAGCGAAGGCAGCUCGCUGGGACGUUACUGACGCUGAGGCGCGAAAGCGUGGGGAGCGAACAGG